CCUUCUGUAGGUUAAAUUAAAUCACUAGUUUGUGGUACUAGAGAUAACUGUUAGUUCAAAAGGU
rnacentral:tRNA from 1 species